rnacentral:rRNA from 1 species
GACGAACGCUGGCGGCGUGCCUAAUACAUGCAAGUCGAACGCAGUGGGGCCGGGUGAGUAACACGUGGGUAACCUCCCAUCAGAGGGGAUAACACUUGGAAACAGGUGCUAAACCGAUACUGAUGGAUGGACCCGCGGUGCAUUAGCUAGUUGGUGAGGUAACGGCUCAAAAAGGCCACGAUGCAUAACCGACCAGAAUGGGCAGUCUGCCACACAGAGACGUAGACACGGCCAAGACUCCUACGGGAGGCAGCAGUAGGGAAUCUUCGGCAAUGGACGAAGGUCUGACCGAGCAACGCCGCGUGAGUGAAGAAGGUUUUCGGAUCGUAAAACUCUGUUGUUAGAGAAGCGGUAUCUAACCAGAAAGCCACGGCUAACUACGGGCCAGCCGCCGCGGUAAUAC